UAAUUUAAAAUUUAAAAAACAGUCCCUAAAACUCCAGAAAUUGCAGCGUGAAUAGUGUCAGCGCGUUGCCCAACGCGCUACUACCACUAGCGGCACGUGGGUUCACGCGCCGCUGGGAAAGAAACCGGCUGAAAUUGACUUCUCCUCCUCUUCUCUUCUGCAACACCAGCGACGUCGUGACCUACAAAACAACAAAAAAUACACAACAACAUCGUUGACUCUCCUUAGAUCUGCUUCUUUCUCCUUCAUUUUGGGUCUGAUCCGUUUCUCUACCGAUGGCGGAUCUGGUGGCGGUUCGCUUCUAUGGAGGAUGGUCUAUGGGAAGAUGAAGAAGAGAAUGAGGAUGGCUGGUGCAUGCAUCCGGUUUGAAAUGGUGCCGGAUCUGUGGGCGACGCCGUUUUGGGGGCAAGAGCUGUUGCGUUGUGGUGCUUGCUAGAGGAGAAGAGGCUGGAUCUGCAAGCGCCACCGGAGGGAGAAGGCGGACUGCUCCACGCCUGUGGGCGAUGCUGCUAAUGCUGCCACUAUUGGUGGAGGAGCUGGAGACGAC